UACGAAGGGGGCUAGCGUUGCUCGGAAUUACUGGGCGUAAAGCGCGCGCAGGCGGUUUCUCAAGUCAGUGGUGAAAGCCCGGAGCUCAACUCCGGAACUGCCAUUGAAACUGUGAGACUUGAGGACGAGAGAGGUGAGUGGAAUUCCCAGUGUAGAGGUGAAAUUCGUAGAUAUUGGGAAGAACACCGGUGGCGAAGGCGGCUCACUGGCUCGUUUCUGACGCUCAGGCGCGACAGCGUGGGGAUCAAACAGG
rnacentral:rRNA from 1 species